AUUGAACGCUGGCGGCAUGCUUUACACAUGCAAGUCGAACGGCAGCGGGGAGGAGCUUGCUUCUCUGCCGGCGAGUGGCGAACGGGUGAGUAAUACAUCGGAACGUGUCGAGAAGAGGGGAUAACCACCCGAAAGGGUGGGCAAUACCGCAUUAAUUUCUGAGAAGGAAGCUUGGGGACUAGGAAUUAGGCUAGCGCCUUUUUAGCGGGCGGAUGUCGGAUUAGCUAGUUGUGGAGGUAAAGGCUCACCAAGGCGAAGAUCUGUAGCGGGUCUGAGAGGAUGAUCCGCCACACUGGGACUGAGACACGGCCCAGACUCCUACGGGAGGCAGCAGUGGGGAAUUUUGGACAAUGGGGGCAACCCUGAUCCAGCCAUGCCGCGUGUAUGAAGAAGGCCUUAGGGUUGUAAAGUACUUUUGUUAGGGAAGAAAAGUCAGCUGUGAAUAAUGGCUGAUACUGACGGUACCUAAAGAAUAAGCACCGGCUAACUACGUG
rnacentral:rRNA from 1 species